AGUGAACGCUGGCGGUAGGCCUAACACAUGCAAGUCGAACGGCAGCACAGUAAGAGCUUGCUCUUACGGGUGGCGAGUGGCGGACGGGUGAGGCAUACAUCGGAAUCUACUUUUUCGUGGGGGAUAACGUAGGGAAACUUACGCUAAUACCGCAUACGACCUACGGGUUAAAGCAGGGGAGCUUCGGACCUUGCGCGAUUCAAUGAGCCGAUGUCGGAUUAGCUAGUUGGCGGGGUAAAGGCCCACCAAGGCGACGAUCCGUAGCUGGUCUGAGAGGAUGAUCAGCCACACUGGAACUGAGACACGGUCCAGACUCCUACGGGAGGCAGCAGUGGGGAAUAUUGGACAAUGGGCGCAAGCCUGAUCCAGCCAUACCGCGUGGGUGAAGAAGGCCCUCGGGUUGUAAAGCCCUUUUGUUGGGAAAGAAAAGCAGCAGGUUAAUACCCCGCUGUUCUGACGGUACCCAAAGAAUAAGCACCGGCUAACUUCGUG
rnacentral:rRNA from 1 species